rnacentral:rRNA from 1 species
AGUGAACGCUGGCGGUAGGCCUAACACAUGCAAGUCGAACGGCAGCACAGUAAGAGCUUGCUCUUACGGGUGGCGAGUGGCGGACGGGUGAGGAAUACAUCGGAAUCUACUUUUUCGUGGGGGAUAACGUAGGGAAACUUACGCUAAUACCGCAUACGACCUACGGGUGAAAGCAGGGGAUCUUCGGACCUUGCGCGAUUGAAUGAGCCGAUGUCGGAUUAGCUAGUUGGCGGGGUAAAGACCCACCAAGGCGACGAUCCGUAGCUGGUCUGAGAGGAUGAUCAGCAACACUGGAACUGAGACACGGUCCAGACUCCUACGGGAGGCAGCAGUGGGGAAUAUUGGACAAUGGGCGCAAGCCUGAUCCAGCCAUACCGCGUGGGUGAAGAAGGCCUUCGGGUUGUAAAGCCCUUUUGUUGGGAAAGAAAAGCAGCAGGUUAAUACCCCGCUGUUCUGACGGUACCCAAAGAAUAAGCACCGGCUAACUUCGUG